UGCUGGAGGUAUCAGAAGUGCGAAUGCUGACAUAAGUAACGAUAAAGCGGGUGAAAAGCCCGCUCGCCGGAAGACCAAGGGUUCCUGUCCAACGUUAAUCGGGGCAGGGUGAGUCGACCCCUAAGGCGAGGCCGAAAGGCGUAGUCGAUGGGAAACAGGUUAAUAUUCCUGUACUUGGUGUUACUGCGAAGGGGGGACGGAGAAGGCUAUGUUGGCCGGGCGACGGUUGUCCCGGUUUAAGCGUGUAGGCUGGUUUUCCAGGCAAAUCCGGAAAAUCAAGGCUGAGGCGUGAUGACGAGGCACUACGGUGCUGAAGCAACAAAUGCCCUGCUUCCAGGAAAAGCCUCUAAGCAUCAGGUAACAUCAAAUCGUACCCCAAACCGACACAGGUGGUCAGGUAGAGAAUACCAAGGCGCUUGAGAGAACUCGGGUGAAGGAACUAGGCAAAAUGGUGCCGUAACUUCGGGAGAAGGCACGCUGAUAUGUAGGUGAAGCGACUUGCUCGUGGAGCUGAAAUCAGUCGAAGAUACCAGCUGGCUGCAACUGUUUAUUAAAAACACAGCACUGUGCAAACACGAAAGUGGACGUAUACGGUGUGACGCCUGCCCGGUGCCGGAAGGUUAAUUGAUGGGGUUAGCGGUAACGCGAAGCUCUUGAUCGAAGCCCCGGUAAACGGCGGCCGUAACUAUAACGGUCCUAAGGUAGCGAAAUUCCUUGUCGGGUAAGUUCCGACCUGCACGAAUGGCGUAAUGAUGGCCAGGCUGUCUCCACCCGAGACUCAGUGAAAUUGAACUCGCUGUGAAGAUGCAGUGUACCCGCGGCAAGACGGAAAGACCCCGUGAACCUUUACUAUAGCUUGACACUGAACAUUGAGCCUUGAUGUGUAGGAUAGGUGGGAGGCUUUGAAGUGUGGACGCCAGUCUGCAUGGAGCCGACCUUGAAAUACCACCCUUUAAUGUUUGAUGUUCUAACGUUGGCCCGUUAUCCGGGUUGCGGACAGUGUCUGGUGGGUAGUUUGACUGGGGCGGUCUCCUCCUAAAGAGUAACGGAGGAGCACGAAGGUUGGCUAAUCCUGGUCGGACAUCAGGAGGUUAGUGCAAUGGCAUAAGCCAGCUUGACUGCGAGCGUGACGGCGCGAGCAGGUGCGAAAGCAGGUCAUAGUGAUCCGGUGGUUCUGAAUGGAAGGGCCAUCGCUCAACGGAUAAAAGGUACUCCGGGGAUAACAGGCUGAUACCGCCCAAGAGUUCAUAUCGACGGCGGUGUUUGGCACCUCGAUGUCGGCUCAUCACAUCCUGGGGCUGAAGUAGGUCCCAAGGGUAUGGCUGUUCGCCAUUUAAAGUGGUACGCGAGCUGGGUUUAGAACGUCGUGAGACAGUUCGGUCCCUAUCUGCCGUGGGCGCUGGAGAACUGAGGGGGGCUGCUCCUAGUACGAGAGGACCGGAGUGGACGCAUCACUGGUGUUCGGGUUGUCAUGCCAAUGGCACUGCCCGGUAGCUAAAUGCGGAAGAGAUAAGUGCUGAAAGCAUCUAAGCACGAAACUUGCCCCGAGAUGAGUUCUCCCUGACUCCCUGAGAGUCCUGAAGGAACGUUGAAGACGACGACGUUGAUAGGCCGGGUGUGUAAGCGCAGCGAUGCGUUGAGCUAACCGGUACUAAUGAACCGUGAGGCUUAACCU
rnacentral:rRNA from 1 species